rnacentral:rRNA from 1 species
UACGUAGGGUGCAAGCGUUAAUCGGAAUUACUGGGCGUAAAGCGUGCGCAGGCGGCUAUGCAAGACAGAUGUGAAAUCCCGGGCUCAACCUGGGAACUGCAUUUGUGACUGGCGGGCUAGAGUAUGGCAGAGGGGGGUAGAAUUCCACGUGUAGCAGUGAAAUGCGUAGAGAUGUGGAGGAAUACCGAUGGCGAAGGCAGCCCCUGGGCCAAUACUGACGCUCAUGCACGAAAGCGUGGGGAGCAAACAGG